UGGCAGCGAUUACAGCCUUGAGUCUUCUUGGGUAUGAUGCUACAAGCUUGGCACACCUGUAUUUGGGGAGUUAUGCAAGCACAUCACCUGUGCCAUUAAGGCACAGACCUUUUGGCAGAGGCCAGAUUAAAGGUUACAAUAGAACUGCCAAUGGCUGACUUGAUUGCUCAAAGAAAAUCUGUCUUUGCAUGUGGAAAUGUGUAGCUAAUUUCCCCCCAACUUCGGACACUCUCUAGCGUUUGGAGGACUAAAUCACCUCGAGCUCAACAUUUAAAUGGACUGGAAAAUAAAGAUAACAUCAAACAAAAAACCAUGGAGAAAG